GUUGAGGGCACCGUGUACCCUCUGUAUUAUUUGGUUCGGUCUCGCAUCCUCUUGGGGAACGUUUCUGGACUUUAUUGGACAGGGCGAGAUUCAAGACUUUUACUUUGAGGAAAUUAGAGUGUUCACGGCAGGCAAGCGCUUUGAAUACAUUAGCAUGGAAUAAUAAUAUAGGACCUUCGUUCUAUUUUGUUGGUUUCUAGAACUUAGGUAAUGAUUAAUAGGGACAAUUGGGGGCAUUCGUAUUAACGCGUCAGAGGUGGAAUUCUUGGAUUGCGUUACGACGAACUACUGCGAAAGCAUUUGCCAAAGAUGUUUUCAUUGAUCAAGAACGAAAGUAUGGGGAUCGAAGACGCUUAGAUACCGUCGUAGUCUAUACCCAUAAACUAUGCCCAACUAGAGAUUGGUGGGGUUCUCCCUAUUUGGCU
rnacentral:rRNA from 1 species